GGGAGGAGAAAAAAGGGCAGAACCGAGGGGCCAAUGGGGAGCAUGAACGAAAACAGAGAGGGGACCUAAAAACAGAGAAAUAGGGAGAGAGCAAAAGGACAGCAGGCCUGCUUUGCCUUUGUUCUCAAAACGCAAGUGAAGUGCAGGGAAACUGCAAGCGUUGGUCAGCCUAAUUAUUCGUCUCCAGCUGCACACUCCAAACCAUCGGAAGAGAGAACUGAGAAAAACAAGAGAAAAGGCGGAAAAAAACCCAGGGGAAAGAAAAGGAGGAGACAGGGGACGAGAAACCAAAAAAGAAAAACUGGGGACCCGAAAAAGCCAGGCGGAGAGACUGAAAAAACCUGGGGAAAACUGAGAGAAGAGGAGACCCAGAACCGGGGAGAAGAAAAAGCCACGAAGGGCAGGGGAGACUAAAAAACGGGGAAAACAGAAACAGAGGAAGAACUGAAAAAAUGGAGGAACAGACC
rnacentral:lncRNA from 1 species